GUGGGGAAUUUUGGACAAUGGGCGCAAGCCUGAUCCAGCAAUGCCGCGUGCAGGAAGAAGGCCUUCGGGUUGUAAACUGCUUUUGUACGGAACGAAACGGUCCGGGUUAAUACCCUGGGCUAAUGACGGUACCGUAAGAAUAAGCACCGGCUAACUACGUGCCAGCAGCCGCGGUAAUACGUAGGGUGCAAGCGUUAAUCGGAAUUACUGGGCGUAAAGCGUGCACAGGCGGUUUUGUAAGACAGGCGUGAAAUCCCCGGGCUCAACCUGGGAAUUGGGCGUGUGACUGCAAGGCUGGAGUGCGGCAGAGGGGGAUGGAAUUCCGCGUGUAGCAGUGAAAUGCGUAGAUAUGCGGAGGAACACCGAUGGCGAAGGCAAUCCCCUGGGCCUGCACUGACGCUCAUGCACGAAAGCGUGGGGAGCAAACAGGAUUAGAUACCCGAGUAGUCC
rnacentral:rRNA from 1 species